GCAGCGAUGACUGAAGGGAAAGGAAUAUAUCAGAUGAAAUAUUCGAGGAGAAAGCCAAGAUGUUAAUUCUGUUUCUCUGCUUGCAUGAGGAACCACCUCUGGAGGAUUUUGAGGCUCCUUUGUUUGCAUGUGCUGCUGCAGAGCAUUUAAGGAAAGUAUUAAUAAGACAGGUCUCCUUCAAAGGCCAGCUGAAGAACCCUUGAAGAAAAGUCUGCCCUCCACCCUCUCCACACCACUUCAGGGACAUGAGAAGUGUUGUUUUGCUGCCUCAAAAGCUGUCUGUGCUGAGGAUCACAAAGGAUGAGACAACUUUACCCCUCUGGCCAUGUUCCUGUUGGCACUGUCACUGCACUCCUGCUCUCCUGGCUGUUCUCACCUGGGGCUAAAUCCUCUUCACUUCAGUGACAGGGAGACAGAGACACGUUUCAGAGGGAGAAAAGCAGCAAGGACGUAGUUGCAGCACUGUGGAGAGCUGAAAUGAGUAGAAAAAAAAGUGGUUUAGUAUCUGAGAAGUGAUGGAUCUCUCUGUCUGCCUACCCAUACAAGCCCUGGCUCUCAACAGAACAAUAAAUAAAUAAAUAAAUAAAUAAAUAAAUAAAGCAACAUUUUUUUUCAUAAAAUCAACCCUAUCAACAAAGUGGGGAUUGCAUGUGACGUUGAUGAGGCGCAGCAACAACAUCAACAACAAAAAAUUAGAGUUCUGAAUUAAAACCUUUUGGGAAAGCUUGGCUUUGAGCUUGGAAUUGGAGUCAGGAACGUGUGCAGGCUUGCUGGGAGGUGAUUAAGGCUCGGUGUGAAAACACACCUGGGGUGUUCCCUGGGGACUUGGUUGACUGCUGCUUGUUCUGGGCUCUGAUCUCCAGCAACAAGAUAAGG